AUGAGGGAGAUCCUCUACAUUCAGGGUGGGCAAUGUGGAAAUCAGAUUGGUUCCAAGAUCUGGGAGGUGGUGUGCGAUGAGCAUGACAUCGACCCCAUAGGGCGAUAUGUCGGCACCUCUCACCUGCAUCUGAAGCGUGUCAAUGUCUACUACAAUGGGGCUUCAUGUGGUCGCUUUGUGCCCUGUGUUGUCCUUUUGGAUCUUGAGCGUGGUACUGUGGACAGUGUCCAUACUGGACCGUACGGGCAGAUCUUCUACCCUGAAAACUUUGUGUUUAUGCUGGUACUGGUAACAACUGGGCCAAGGGUCAUUAGACCGAGGGUGCUGAGCUCACUGAUUAUGUUCUUGAUGUUGUCAGGAAGGAGGCUGAGUACUAUGACUGGCCUUCAAGAGUUCCAAGUAUGCCACUCUCUUGGUGGUGGAUCUGGAUCAGGCCUCGGAACACUUCUGGUAUCAAAGAUCAGGGAGGAGUAUCCUGACGGCAUGAUGCUAAUGUUCUCUAUUUUCCCCUCACCGAAAGUAUUUGAUACUGUGGUUGAGCCUUACAAUGCCACGUUUUCGGUCCAUCAAUUGGUCGAGAGUGCAGAUGAGUGCAUGGUUCUUGACAAUGAGGCCCUUUAUGACAUCUGUUUGAGGACUCUCAAGCUGACCACUCCCAGUUGUUUAAGCAGGAUCUGUGUGUAUGACUUUUCUUCU
rnacentral:rRNA from 1 species